GGGCGCAGUGGGCGGGGGAAGUUCCGAGGGCCGGAGCUGCGCUCUGGUGGGGUGGGCGGUCCCGCCUGGGCCGGGUGGUGUGGGCAGGAGGUUAGUGCCUGGGAGGAGCGUGGGGUGCGAGAUGGGUCACUACGACUGAGAACUGGUUCCCGUGUUUUUCUAGGGCAUGUAGACUAGGGAUGGGUACUUGAGCGCGAGCCAGAACUUGAGCGUCUGUGCAGGUGUUACCUGCCGCGAGUCCCGCGGCUUGCCCGGGGGUUCAGGCAGAGCGUGCGCGCUGCGGCGCUCUGGACCGAGGGUGGCCAAGUUAGCCCUCCUUAAACUGCACAAGCCCCGGGCCUCUUUAUUCACCGACAGUCUGGGGACUGGGGGCCCCGGGGGGAGGGGGGUCCAGUGCUUAUUGAUGUCAAAACCUGCCUUUUUCCUUACCGCUGUCAUGACCUGACAACUUCCUUAAUAGGGCGCAGUAGUUUGGUAAAUGGUGUUAAAUGCAAUGUUAGCGAUCUGCUCUAACCUGCCAAGUGGAUCAUUGUAGCAUUCCCUGAACGUGGUCGGUUUUCAAGGCCAAGCUUACCGUUUCUAACAGCUUGCUGUGUAUUUGGAAGGAUUUUUUUUUUUUUUGGUUUUUGGCUUUUGUUUUCUGCUUUUUGUCGUUGUGUAAUCAAAACCUCCGGUUUGAGUCACCUGCUUUGCUUUUUGAUCUAUUAAGAAUUGGACUUCCUGGCAUCCCUACUUGCCCAGUUGCUGUUAUAGUUGAGUUUCCAACUGCAAGAGAAUAUCUGUGUUCCUACCAAGGCUUGUGCUCUUCCAGUUCUGUGCAUUUGGAAGCUGCGACUUGUAUCCAAUUUUGUAGCAAACUUAAGUAAACUGAAAUAUGCUUGUUUGUUGACUGACUGUAAGGUUGACCUUUCCUUAAAUUAAUCCUGAUGACCGAAUUUAUGGCUGCUACUUUAAGUGCAUACUUAUUUGAAAUACCCCCUUGGAUAUAACUAUAUUUUCUUGUUUGGUUUUUUAUAUUAGCUUAUCAAAACAGGAACCCAACCAGUAUGUUACUUGAGGAAAUAUCUGUGUAAAUAAUGAAGCUAAAAAUAGGUCAAGACAGGGGUUAAGAAGGUAAAAUUGUGAGGGACACUGACGUUGGUAUGGAUAGGAGUUUAUAAUCUGUAUGCUAAUUUAACCUCCAUUUCCAUAUUCAUUAGAAUGGUAACAGGCAUUACUAUGGUAACAGCCAAUUUUUUUAUUGAUUGCCCUGCAAUAUAAGAAUAUAUGCUCUAGAGCUCUUGGUUUGGAUCCCAACUCUGCCACUUUAAUCGUUGUGUUAUGUGUCUUUUAAGGCAAAGGUUUGACUGUACCUAAAGCAAUUGAUCUGUAAAAUGGAGACAGUAAUAAUACUUCCUCCGUGGGAUACUAUGAAAUUUGAAUGCAUGAAUACAUAUUUGAAAGCCCUAACAGCAGUGCAGAACAGCCAUUCAACAUUUGUUCACUGUUAUUAUUGUGAGCAUUAAGGCCAAAGUUAUACUAUACAUCUUCCUUUAUUCAAUAUACAGGCUCCUGAAAAAAAUAAAUAGAUGCGUUUGUAGUGAAUCAUAUUUUAAAACUAGCCAGGGGGCAGUGUUGUGGCACAGAGGUUUAAGCUGCUGCCUGCAGUGCCAGCAUGCUCUAUCAGAUUACCAGUUCCAGUCCCAGAUGCUGGGCCUCAGACCCUGCUUCCUGCUAAUGCACCUGGGAAGGUAGCAGAUGAUGGCCCAAAUGCUUGUGCUCCUGCUACCCACAUGGGAGACCCAAUUGGUGUUCCUGGCUCCUGCCUUCCAUCUGGCCUACACCUGGCCAUUGGAGCUAUUUGGCAAGUAAACCAGCAGAUGGAAGAUAGAGGUGUAUGUGUGUGGGUGUGUGUGUGUGUGUGUGUGUGUGUGUCUCCUUCUCCCUCUCUCUCUUUCUUCUUUCUUUUUUUUUCUCUCUCUGUCAGUCUACCUUUCAAAUAAAUAAAUCUCAAAAAUAAAACUAAGGCAGUCUCCAACAUUUGGAAUUCACAAAACCAGUAAGAUAUUUUUCGAUAAUCUGGGAAUCAGUAUAAAGUUGGCAACUUUUCUUUUGGUAAGUGAGGGUAUUAAAAUGUAUUUUAACCUCAGAAAUCGGGAAGGUCAAUUUUUGAAAAAAGGACAGUUCUUGAAAUUGAUUAAUUAAGGCUUGUGAUAAACAAUGCAUUGCAAUGAUUUUUUUAAACCUCUCUGUGAACCUGAUAAAACAUCAUAGGCCAGCACUUAGGAACUCACUGCAUUAUAUUUUUGGUAAUUGUAAAGCAUAUAAUCAAUCUUUCAUUUGUUUUGUGAACCCAGAUUUUCAUAUAUUGGUGUUGCUUAAGCAAAAUUUUUCUGCAUUUAAAGGAAUCACCAUCAAUUUUGAUUUCCUUUAGGAUUUUAAUCACCAAGAACCAGAAAAAAAUCUUCAAAAUGAAUUUGUUCUGUGAAUUUAAGAAGUACUUGGAGCACCCAUGUCCUAUACUGGAGCGAUCCACUUCUGGCCCACCUUCAGAUUCUACCUUCCUGAUAAUGCAAACUGAGAGGCAAAAAAGAAUUUCCUCUUCUUGGUACUGUUGCAACAAUAACUGCAUCAAGAAGCCUCCGGGGGACAAUCAAGACUGUAUUGCUUUCACUCAUGACAAGUAAAGUGCAGGCUGAAAGUUUUAACUCCUCAGCUCUCUGUCUUUGUGAAGGAAGUGAAUUUUGGAACUGAAAUAAAGCAUGAUAUCAAAAAUCUCUAGAAGCCCGUGCACUAGCUGGCUCUACGGACUUGAACUCCCCAGGUUAUCUAUUCUCCCAGGAAGACUCAGGAGCAGCAAGGCUCCCAGGAACAACUGUAAAGAAGACAUAGUAAUGGCAUGUAGCUCUAAAGACAGAUCAUCAUCUCUCUACCCCCUCUGGACUUUUGGGACUAAUGUAAUGCCAUACCACUCCUGCUUUAUAAAAAAACAAAAGGGGGGAAUGUUAGGAAACUGGCACAGUUUUAUCUAUGGCACGUUACAUCCCAAGCUCUAGCCCCUGCCACCAUUGCUGGAAGCCAGGUGGCCACAUGGCCCAACCUCCGUGGUCAAGCUCCACCCCCAUCCUAAUGGGAUUCACUGCUCCUGCUUCCCUGGCCGCACUCAGGCAAAGUUUUAAAAGGGCCUGUUCUUGAACACGUGGCUCUCUUGCCUCCUCUCUCUUGGCUCUCUCUCUUGGCUCUUUCUUGGCUCCUCUCCUCUCGUCUCCUCUCUCCUCUCUGUCUCUCCUCUUACAGUCUCCUCUCUUUUUCCCUCUUUGCCCCUUCCCUCCAGUCUACUGAGUUUUCCCCAAUAAACCCUUUUCCUUAAAAAAAGAAGACAUAGUAAUGGGACUUCAGCCUUGAUGUUCAAGUUAGGUCAAAAUCUGCAAUAAACUUUAAAUUGCUAAAUCACCCUCACGGUGCUUAAACUAAGAUUUGGCUCCACCAUGAUUCCAGUAUGAAAACUAAUACAAUUAUUUCAAGACAAAACAAUGAAUGAGCUUUUGAAUGCAGAAAGGAAGAUAUCCUAUCGCUUCUCAUGAGCAUUCUAUUUUUAUUAAAGAAAUUCGGGUAUUUAUUUGUUUAUUUUAUUUGACAGAGAGAGAGAGAGAGAGUGAGAUUGUUCUCUCAAUCACUGGUUCACUCCCCAAAUGCCUGCAACAGCUAGGCCUGAAUUAAGCUGAAGCCAAGAGCUAAGAAUUCAAUAUUGGUCUCCCACAUGAACGAUAGGACCCAAUUAUCUGAGCCACCAUCAGCUGUCUCCCAGGAUGUGCACCAGCAAGAAGCUGGAUUUGAUAGUAGAGGUGGAACCAGAACCUCCAAUACAGAAAGUGGGCACUCCAGAAAGUGCCUAAAGCACUGUAUCAAAUAUGCACCCCUCAUAGUCAUUUGUAUAUUAUGUUCUCUUUUUCUAAAAUACCAAAAUUAUAAACUUCAUAUUUAUGAAUUAUAUGGAUUUCGAUUCAUCAUCAUUUGUACUCCUACAUUCCUUUUCCCACCUUGAUGACGAUUUUGCCAUGUACAGAAAGCAGCAACACUGAAUCUUAUAUCAUCUUAUAUAUUAUAUCAUCAAUAUAACAUAUAUAUAACACAUAUAUAAUCUUAUAUCAUCACAAUAACAGAAAAUUUACAAGUCUGAUGUCCAUGCUAAGCACAGAAAAUUAAAUUUUCCUUGAAGAUAUGAUCAAAACUAUGGUGCUAUAUUAUUGGAAGUACUUUUGAUGACUACUGAUAACAAGGCCAUUCUUCCUGUAACUGCAUCCAUGCAUGUAAGAGUUAUGGGAAUCGUCUAUGUGGCUUUGGUUUGAUCAGUUGUUCACUACUUGUUUUGGGGGAAUUUACGCAGUCACCACCCAGUGUUAUACUAAUCAGUGCUAUAUGGUAACAAGAGACAAAGGGCAGAGAUAGGCAACUAUCCCAAAAUAAGUAAAUAGAAGAAAUAUAUAUGGCUUCUUAGAACAAGACAGCUGACUCUCUUCUAUAUCAAAAUCUGAUACUCUUUGAACUCAAAGAAUAUUAACAGCUACAAUAUGACUAUAUCAAAGCAAUUAGUAGGUGAACAACUGAAUAAAUACAUUAAAUUAGAUGACUAUUAACAAUUAUGGUUGCCCAUGAAAAUUAUAGUGCAUCUGAAUCAGCUAAAUUACUUUCCACAGCAAGUAACUGAAAACCCAACUCCAUUUGGCAUAAGCGACAUCCAAUCAAUUAUUUCACACAACGUGAAGUUCAGAAUUAGGACAACUUUGAGGUUGUUACAUUGGACUCUACCCAAAUUUGUGGCUAUCUUCUUGGCCCUAAUCUUCUCCUUGGGCUGGUGACAAGGUGGCUACAAUCAUUAGAGGUUAUCAGAGACUCAAAGCAGCCCAGAGCAGAGGAAGAAGAGAGAAUGUCUCUUUCUUUUGGGUCUGUGUUAAGACCUAGUAAACUGUUUCUAGAGGAAAUCCCAGGAGAUGCUUUCUCAUAGUUCAUUGGCCAAGGCUAAUUUACAUGCUGAAUUAACCCAUGCAAUGCUGAGAGGAAUGAGCAUGGUUAAUACACCAUUGGAAUAGAUCUUGUGAGUUAUAAGAUCUUAUUACAACUUAUUAUCACAGACUACAGUUAUUUAUCUCUGAUGAGAUUUUAUGUGGAAAUCAAUCUUGAGGGUAAAUGGAGAGCAAGUGUGUGUGUGUGUGUAAUGGAGAGUUUGGCUAAUGAAGAGGCAUGAUCUCUGCUGAAAGGAUAGGACUCAUACACAGAUAACAUGAUCACAGAGAAGUACUGCACAGAAAGAUGAAGUUUAUCACAAAAGGACGCCAUGAGCAUGUACAUUUACACAAACAGCUGUACUCUAAGAGAUUGUGUAGGCUUCCCUUUCAGAGGCAUUUAUUCCUGGUUAUCUGCUUUUAUGUGAGCUAUUGACUAGGGAACCUACAAUUCAAUGAGGAUAAAGUGGUUGUUCACAAAGUAAGAUGUGACAGAUGAAGAAGAGAUCACUUUAUCCUACAAAACUCUUUCCUGUAAAAACAAAGCAAAUAAUAUGCAUAAAAUCACAGAGCGACCAAAUCACCCAUAUGCUUAUGUGGGCUGCUUAGUUCAUGAGAUAUAAUGUGAGAGACCCUGAGCCGUGUCUCCUAACCUCACAGGACUCCUCUCUAUGGCCUGACAUCGGCAAUUCUACACUGGGAUGAAGUAGGAAGAUCUUUUUAAGUUUUUGUUUGUUUGUUUUUAGCAGAUGCUUUUGAAGAAGACCACUGACACUUUGCAUUAAUUAUUACAUUGUACAUACUAAGUACACCUGGAAACAAUAAAAUUGCUUAGGUAGGUGGAAUCUUUUAAAAGGGAAAAGCAACCUAUUUAUCAUUUUGCCCAGACUUCCAAUGAGACAGACAUAGCCAUAUAAAACACAAAGGAAAAUGGCUUGACACAGAGAUUCAAGUGCAUGCCCUGCUUGUGCCAACACGUGAGGAGGAAACUGCACACAUAAGAAUCUCAAGGAAGAGAGGCCUGCAUGGCCCUCUGAGAGCUGCCCUUCUCCUAGCGUGGUUGCAAGAGGGAAUUCUGGAAUUUUGCUCUGCACUCUACUUUCUGCAUGUUGUUGAGAGGUUGGCAGCUACAGAGGAAAUCAAGCCAUUUCCCAAGAAUGGAGUAUGAUCUAGAGUUCAUUGUAGAGUCUCCUAAGUGAGUGGGUGGGUAUGCAAGAACUUAGUAUUGGAAUGUUAAGCUCAGAAAAAUGUCUAUACUUGAUCGCUGCAAAAUGUUCGUUAAUCAUUCUGGAACCCUUCAAACCUUAAUCCAAUCUUCCCUAUUCAAUGGCAAAAGUAUAUGUGUUCUCCAAAGUUGUGAAGAGAAACUUCCCUUUGGGAACAUAAAUUAGUAUUUCAGGUCAGAUACACUUUUAAUUCCCGUUUUGGAUGGUACUCACUAACUUGCUAAAAGUGAGAAAACAUUUCUAUCGCAAUUUCUGAUAUUUUCCUUUAGGCACACUUUUGCAAGGGAGGGAGUUCUACCAUUGUUUAAACACCUACUGCAUGCCUGUUUGUCCACUCAGCUUUGCUCAUUUCUUCCCCAUACAACCUGCGUGAUUGAGUAUGAGCAGCAUUGUGAUAAAGAGCACUGGGUCCAACCCCAGACUCUGUACUAACAAGCACAAUGACCCUGAAUACUUCUGUAUAAAGGAGCAUGGUAACAGUAUCUACCUGAGGAAGUGGUUGUAAGAAUUAUAUUAGAUGGGGCCGGUGCUGUGGCAUAGUGGGUAAAGCCGCUGCUUGCAGUGCCAGCAUCCCAUAUGGGUGCCUGUCCGAGUCCUGGUUGCUCCACUUCUGAUCCAGCUCUCUGCUAUGGCCUGGGAAAGCAGUAGAAGAUGGCCCAAGUCCUUGGGCCCCUGCACCUGUGUGAGAGACCCAGAAGAAGCUCCUGACACCUGGCUUCGGAUCAGCACAGCUCCAGCUGUUGUGACCAAUUGGGGAGUGAACCAGAGGAUGGAAGACACCUCUCUCUAUCUGCCUCUCCUUCUCUCUCUGUGUAACUCUGACUUUCAAAUAAAUAAAUAAAUUUUUAAUAAAAAGAGAGAAUUAUAUUAGCUUUAGGGGACAAUAGCUCAGCACCUUAUCAAUAAUGAGCACUUAGUAACUGGAUGCUCUUGCUUCAUUGUCGUCCUCAUUUUACAGGUAAGAAAAUCGUAUCUCAGAGAGCUUGGUAACUUGUCAUAUCUGAGAAAUGUUAAGUAUCUUUCUGAAGGUCACAAUGUAACUAAAUCAUGAGACAGUGAUAAAAUCCUUUUAUUUAUCUAAUUUCGGGUUUGUCCAAUUCUAAAGUUUGUCUAUUUCCUCACUAUUUCAUGUCUCUGUUGAAUAAUCUACUUCAGACACUCUAUUCCAAUUGCAAAGAAUAAUGGAAUGAUGCUUUUAAGAACUGGGGAUCAAUUUUUUUUUAUCAACCUAAGAGUUCUGCACAAAAGCACUCCCUGGGUAUUGCUGUGACACCAACAAAUGGAGAAUCUGUGCCCAAGACUCUAACAAACUAUUUUGUAACUUUUAGUGAUAGGUUGAAAAUCUAAUAAUACUUAGUGAGGUAAAGAAAUUUGCCAGGAUUGAAUACCUAGCAGGUGGCAGAGCCCUGACUGGAAGUGUGCAUGGCCCUCACCAUACUCCUGACUGCCCUGCUGGGCCAUCCUCUUGUUUUGAUAAAGUUUUCUAUGUGUCCAGAAUGAAUUUUGUACAAUAUAAAGGGAAACCUUCAGCGACUGGAUCCUAAGACUCAGGCUCUAUUUUCUGUGCUUUUGUGAAAUAAAUGACAUGAGAAGAAACAUGUGGAACCAAAGAAACAACACAUGAAACCAAACCAAGCUAGCAAAUGAACCAGACAAGCUUGUGGAUCUGUUUUGGAACAGGGAGAGAGUCAUAUAGUCAACCCAUUCUCAUGCCAUCUACAGCUUCUGUAUUUCUAUGUUACUAUGACUUUAUUCCUGGAGACUAUGUCUAUGUAUUUUAAGACAUAAAUUAGCUAGGACAGAUUUAGUUUUCCUGAGUAAGUUCUUAUUAUGUCAUAGAAGAAAACAUAAAAUUUCAGUAGAUGUUUUGAAACAAAAAGUUCUUAAUUCACCAGAAACCUUAGAUAUACUUAAGUGUUCCAGCUAUGAUUAAUGAUGCUUUUCAAUAACUACAAUUGGAAUUCUUUUUAUUAUGGUUUAUUAUUUUAUGGAUUUAGUAUAUCAUGGGUCAAAUUUCAUGUGCCCAAAUAGAACAAACUCCAAAGAGAAACCAACUAUGAGGUAAGGUUAUCUAUCUUUCAACACUAGGAUUUUAAAGGCAUGAUUAUGCAGCAUUUACAGCAAAUACAAUUGGUGAUUAAAUUUUGAAUACUUAAAUAAUUCCAAAACUUAAAAAAAUAUGAUUUUACUGUGUACUAAAUUUUAUCUCAAAAGAUUAAAAAAAAAGGAGCCACAAAUUGUGAGCUCUAAUAAUAAGCAGCUAACAUGUUCAGAUAAUUUCAAAUAAUUGGAAAGGGCAUUUAAAAAAACAUUGGGGGCCAGUGCUGUGGAGUACCAGGUUAAGCUGCCACUUACAAUGCCAGCAUUCCAUAUGUGCACUGGUUCAAGUCUCGGCUGGCCCACUUCUGAUUCAGCUCCAUGCUAAUGUGCUUGGGAAAACAGCCAAACUUGGCUCAAGUGCUUGGGCCCCUCCAUCCAUGUGAGAGGCCAAAAGAAGCUCCUGGCUCCAAGCUUUGGUUUGGUUCAGCUCCAGCCAUUGUGGCUACUUGAAAGUGAACCAGCAGGUGAAGAUCUCUCUCUGCCUCUACUUCUCUCUCUCUCUCUCUGUAACUGUGCCUUUCAAAUAAAAUAAAUAAAUCUUUUUAAAAAAACAUCGUUAAGUGGAUAUAGGGUUUGGGGCAUAGACAGAUAUAUGAUAAUUAUUCAUGUAGUAAAAUAUUAAUGCAGAACUGAGAUGGUGUGUAUAUAAAUGAACACUGUACAGUUCCUUCAAUUUACAGAAAUUUGAAAAUUUUUGACUCAUGUUGGGACAAAUACGAAUGCAUGGAUUAAAUUAUUUGCAGUCAGAUUUAUUUAAAAGAAAACUCCAGAAUAUACUUAUAGUAUAGGAAAUAUAGCAGUAAGUGAAGCUGGUGCAAGAAAAUAUAGAAUAAGGGACCAGCACUGUGGCAUUGUGGGCUAGGCCUCCACCUGAGGCUCAGGCAUCCCAUAUGGAUGCAGGUUCGAGUCCUGGCUGCUCCACUUCUGAUCCAGCUCUCUGCUAUGGCCUGGGAAAGCAGCAGAAGAUGGCUCAGGUAUUGGGCCCCUGCACCCAUGUGGGAGACCUAGAAAAAGCUCCUGGCUCCUGGCUUCAAAUUGGCUUAGCUCUAGCUGUUGUGGCCAUUUGGGGAGUGAACCAGAAGAUGGAAGACUUCUAUCUCUCUACCUCCAUGCGAUUCUCUGCCUUUCAAAUAAAUAAAUUAAAAAAAGAAAAAGAAAAAGAAGAAAGAAAAUGUAGAAUUAGUAAAGGCAUCAGUUGCAAUUUAUCUAGUGCCCAAGAACUGUACACAGCGCUUAAUAGCGUUAUCUAAUUUAAUUAAGGACUCAUAAGUAUCAUUUGAAGUGUGGACUUUUUUCCUUCUUUUACAGGUUAGGAAACAAGUGUAAGAAGGUUGCAUAACUUUCAGGAGAGUGUGCAUUAAGAAGCACAGCUGAGAGUGAAACUGUAUGAGUUUGCAGUCAGUGCUGUAAGCCACUGCAUACCAAGGAAGGGAAAUCUGAAUUGGAGCUCUUUAGAGGUUUCCUAGUUCAAUUUUUUCACCCCUCCUUACAAAUGACACAAAGGUUUAGUAGCACCAGAAUCCCAAAAUUUCUAUUCUUUGAUCAAGAUUUUUCCCACUUAUCAUGAGUGCACUUGUUUUACAAAAUGGAAUCACUACAGGAUUCCUUUAAAUAACAAAUUUUCACAAUACGGUAUAACUAUAAUUUGAUAUACUAUAAUUUGAUCUACACACUUUCUUUCAGGUGUCAAAUAUGUCAUAAAUAUGGGCACCCUGAUGUUAUAAACAGUGUGUCCAAACUGUAGCAUUAGCUUGAGCUUUUGCAUGUACUCAAAUUGUGUACAUUUCCCCAAUGGGAAAAAUGCAGGAAAUUCUGAAAUACAUAUGUAUUGCACGCACUGGAGUGAAAAUACUAUAAUUCCAAUAAUUCUGGAAAUUUUUUCACAGCUCAAUUUCAACCCCAAAGAUUUUCUGGGGAUUGUGUUUUUUGAAUUUCAGCAGUGGCUGAUUUACACGGUGCAAAUCACCUUUUAAAAAGCAUAAACAGAAGAAAGAGAUGUUGUGCGUUAAGAAGGGCAAGUUUAUGAC